rnacentral:lncRNA from 1 species
GUUCUGCAUUUCUGUCCUGUAAGGAACAGUGAUUGCCCCUGCUCCGGAAGAUGUAAUGUGUAAGGUACCAUCCUGGGGGUGGCCCUCUCCAGACACCAAGCCUGCUGGCACCUUGAUCUUGGACUUCCCAGCCUCCAGAACUGUGAGAAAUAAAUUUCUGUUCUUUAUUAAUUACCCAGCAAUUUUUAUAGCUGCACAAAAUGGUUUAAGACAGAGGUCAUAGCAAGCUUCAGUUUUUACUUUUUCCCCUUGCAUCUGAACAAUUGCAAGCAGAAAGAACAACUGAGUGCUUUAUUUCUGCAACCACCAUGCUGCUACUGAGUGAAGGGGAAGGAGGGGUAAGAGCUUGCCUUCUUUCCUUGUGUUAAUUGCAACAUCUUCCAAAACCCAGCAAGGAAGGCAUGAAGUGAGCCUACCAAGGCCAGUCUCCAGAUGAGGGGACUAUAGCUACAGAUUGCUAUGUUUCCUGUUGGUGGUGGUAGCAAGAUUUCAUAGGGGCCUUUCUUGCCAUUGCUCAAAAUGAAAUGCAUUGACACCAAAGGAAGUGGUGAAACUGUGGGCAUUGUAUGCUUUAGAAAUUUGAUAUUUGGAAACCUGCAGACCUGAAGAGGCAGUAGCUUCUCCUGAAGAUCUGAUAUCCAAGGGCUACCCAGACAAGGAGCUGACUUGUCAGGAAGUGUGGUGGACCUUGACGCAAAAACUCAAACCACAAAUGUUUCACUUCUAAAUUUUUGCAGGCUUUGUUAUAUAGACAUUUUUGUUAAGCCCUGUCUAAAACAAUAGGAUGACUGGGUUCUUUCCCCUCCUCAUGGUGACUACGUGCAUCUUCUACGAACAUUCCCAUGUCAUGUGGUCAGCUUCCAAGAAAGACUUUACCAAUGAGUCUGUUUACAGAUUCUCAACCAGAGGACUUACAGGAAUGCACAGUAGCUAUUUGUUUGGGAUGCAGAGGUACAUGAGCCCCAGACCUCAUCCCCAAUCAGGCAGUUGGGUAGGAAUGGUGUGGUUACUGAUGGUGGGAGGACAGGGAUGGUGGGGACUUUCCUGUGGAGGGCCCACCACUGAAGAAAUCUCUCUACCUCCUGGUUUGAUCCAGGCUUUCCAGGGAUAAAAUAAGAGGGGGAAACAAAGAAGUAAUCAUUCCCCAGCCCCCAGUAUGCCCCAUCUCUGACUCAGCUCCCAGCAGAGCAGUAAUAGGUCCCUGCUUAUCAGAUGGCAUCGGAAGGGGGUGGGUGCCUGGGUGGGUGCCUGGCUGUGUGCAGUGAGGAGGUCUCAGCAGCAGCCUCUGAAGCCAACUGCUUGGCUGGAAUCUAGGUGCGCUACUCACUAGCUGGGGAACUUACAGCAAGUUACUUCACCUCUUACGCCUCAGUUUUCUCAUCUGCCAAAAGGGAGUACUAAUAGCAGCAUCAUUGACAAAAGCUGAAAGGUGGAAGCAAGCCAAGUGUUCAUCCACUGAGAAAUGCAUAAAUAAAAUGUGGCCUAGACAUACAUGGAAUACUAUUCAACCUCAAAGGAAGAGAAUCUGGACGUGUACUGCAACAUGGAUGAACUCUGAAGACAUCAUGCUGAGUCCAAGGACAAACACUGUAUGAUUCCACUUAGAUGAGGUACUUAGAGCUGUCAAAUUUGUAGAGAUAGAAAGUAGAAUGGUGCAGGUCAGGCGUUCAACACCAGCCUGGCCAACAUGGAAAAACCCUGUCUCUAUUAAAAAAUACAAAAAUUAGCCAGGCGUGGUGGUGUGCACCUGUAAUCCCAGCUACUCGGGAGGCUGAGGCAUAAGAAUCACUUGAACCCAGGAGGUGGAGGUUGCAGUGAGCCAAGAUCGCACCAUUGCACUCCAGCCUAGGCAAAAAGAGCAAGACUCCGUCUCAAAAAAAAAAAAAAAAAAAAGGAAAGUAGGACGGUGGCUGCCAGGGGCUGGAGGAAGAGGGGAAUGGGAAGUUCUUGCUUAAUGAGCAUAGUUUCAGUUUCGCAAGAUGAAGAGUUCCAGAGAUGGAUGGGAAGAUGGAUGCACAACAGUAUGAAUGUACUUAAUGCCACUGAACUACACACUUAAAAAUGGUUACGAUGGUAAAUGUUGUGUAUGUAUAUUUUACCACAAUUUUUAAAAAUAAAUAAGGAGAAAUAUUACCCACCUCAGGGUUGUUCUAGGAUUAAAUGAGUUAAUUCACUGGUUCUCUACCAGGGAGCUUUUGUCCCCUCCACUCUGCCCCCCAGGGGACAUUUUGUUCCCGGACCAAACUGAGGGUCAGGCUGCUAUUUCUCGCCACCUAAUAAUGAGAUGCAGAUGAACUGGGGAGGAAGAGAGGUUUUAUUUUCUGCAAUCGGUUACAGGGAGAAGGCCUGGAAAUUAUCACCAGACCAAUUCAAAAUUACAAAGUUUUCCAGAGCUUGUAUACCUUCUAAGCUGUAUGUCUACAUGUAAGUGUGCAUUCAUUUAAAGACAUAAGUGAUUAACUUCUUUUAAUCUAUAACUAAGGUCUCAGUACUGAAGACCUUCCUCUGGGGCCUCAGUAAAUUUGCUUAAUCUAAAUGGGUCCAAGUGGUGAGGUGAUUAUCCUUGUCUCCUGUUAAAUCACGGAGGUUUGGGGAGUUCCUUUAGACCCCCAAUAAACUUAUUUGUGGAGGCCUGGGGAGUUUCUUCAGACCCCCAGUAAAACUCAUCUAAUCCUAAAAGGGUCCUGUUAAGAAUUCUUUCAUUAUUUGGUCAUGCUUUAAGGCCCAGGAAAGGCCUAGGCAAGAUGCUUGGUGGGCUUCUGCUAUAUUCCAGCCUUUGUAUAAGGGCACUAGCUUUUUUUUAGCUUUUAAUGUUUAACUUAACCACUUAGUCAGUACUGAAACAGUUGUUAUGGAGGCCUGUGUUAGUGAGACCUGGCCUGCCACAAUUUGACAAAAGUUGGUUACCACAACUUGUAGAAGGCUGGUUGGUGCUACUGGCAUCUGGAGGGUAGAGGCCAGGGAUAUGAUGUAUUGUAUCCACAUCAACACACCAAAGACCUGUCCCACCCAGGAUGCCGAAGUUGAGAAGUUCCAGUGUAAAGUACCUGGUGCAGAGGCCAGAGGCAGUGGCUCACGGCUGCAAUCCCAGCACUUUGGGAGGCCAAGGCGGGCGGAUCAUCUGAGGUCAGGAGUUCAAGACCAGCCUGGCCAACAUGGCAGAACCCCCUCUACUAAAAAAUACAAAAAUUAGCCCGGCAUGGUGGUGCAGGCCUGUAGUCCCAGCUACUCCGAAGGCUGAGGCAGGAGAAUCGCUUGAACCCGGGAGGCAGAGGCUGCAGUGAGCUGAGACUGCAUUACUACACACCGGCCUGGGCGACAGUGAGGCUCUGUCUCCAAAAAAAGAAAAAAAAAACUCCCUCGUAAUUUCUAUCCGUUGUCCUCACUAAGAUUGGGUGUGUGCACACAUCCCUCACCUGAGCGUGUGUCGGCAGCAGCACUGAGGCCCCUGCACCGAGAGGCUGGCUGCCCGCGAUGUCCUCGUAACCCAGGACGCAAACGAUCGUUGUGGCAUAUUAGAACGCCAGACGCUAGGCGUCCUUCGCUGCAGCGCAGUCACCUUGUCGCCAUCAGCGGUCCCCUCUGUGCGGAUGGAAGCAGGGCAGUUUGCCCUUUGUUCUCUAGAGGCUGCCCUCACCUCGCUGUCCCCUGAGAGGAAAAGGCUGGUGGCCAAAGGCACAUCCAGAGCCACCCUUACAGCCCCGCGUGCAGCCUCUUGUGAGAGUCAGUGCACUUGGCACACAGAUUCUGCAACACUCCCGAUAUUUCCACCGGCGAUUGUGAUGGUAAGGUUUAGGGUGGCAGGGGUCAUAUUUAACCAGGAGAAAGAACUUACAUGUGGCAAAUGCGCAGAAGUAUAGUCAUGCAUAGAUGUGUGCACGAGAAACGGCCAGUUGCCAGUAGUGUGCAAACUCGUGGCUUAAACAGGUCCCAAGAGCCUUUCAUCCAUUGAUUUGUCCUUCCGUACCUCUCUUUUGGGAUGCGUGCAUGUCUAGGGGGUCACUUUUCCAUUCCCCUGACCCCAGCACCCCACCCUCAGUCUCUCUCCAGCGUCGGCUGAGCUCCUACUGCCAUCUUGUGGCCGUUCACGUAAGGUGCACCAGAGAGGCGGAGCCCCUGCUGUCCUUGUCCUAGGACUUGAUUUGCAGAGAUUUGGGAGGCUUCCUGACUCUGGGGUGCUCAUUUCCUUCACAAACAGAAAAAGAAAAGUCACUCCUGGGCACAUUGCUGUCAUGUGUGAGGCUGGAAGCACUCCCUACGAUGGGAUUCUCUCAACUGUCCCUAUUUGCAUCUCUAGUCCUCACGUAGUGCAAUUCACUGUGUGAGUGUGUGUGUGUGAGAGAGUGGGUGUGAGUUUGCGUGAGUGUGAGAGUGUGCGUGUGUGUGUGAGAGUAUGUGUGUGUGUGAGAGUGAGUGUGCGUGCGUGUGUGUGUGUGUGUGUGUGUCUGUGAUUAUUGGUAAGGGGAAGGUACAAGAAGCAGGGUAGGCACUGAUGCUAGUACUAUACUUCAAAGUCCUCAAGGAAGAAGUCUCGUUUUGAGCCAAGGAUUUGGGUGUUUCUAGAGAGAGGGAAAACGUGAGCUCCAGAGCUCAUGAAAAGCUCCAUCACAACAAAGGAUUGUCUUGUCUUUUUAGCCACAUCCUCCCAUUCACAUUGCAGCAUAUUGAGAUCUUGGCACUGUCUCCACUCUUUCUUUGGCAUAUGGCUUUCAAUUUGAGCUCCCUGAGGUGAAGAACCAUUCAAGUCCACAACCUGCAUCUCACACAGGGCUGAGCCUAGGGAAGGUAUUAAAUGUUUCUUGAAUGAGAGAACCUUAUCUUCAUUCAGAUGCUCUGUGGUCAGCAUAUCCUGUCGAUUCUUCUUCCAGAAAUCAUUUUCCUAUCCCUAGCCCCCUCUCUUUAUUCCCAGUGUCAAUGGAAUGCAUGCCAUGUGCCAUUCGGCCACUCAAAUUUUCCUUUAUGAUGAGAUGCUCAUUCCCCUUGACUGCACAAAGUUAAGUCCCUCCCCAGGGAUUUCCCUCCAUCCAAAGGAAACUGAUUCACCCAAGGUUAAAGCUCCUCCUGGGGGUAGCCCACAUCCUAUAACUAAUCAAUGUUGGCGGGGUGGCCCCAGCCCCUGUACCUCAAAUCCAGACAACUCUGAAGGACCAUCAGAGACCCAGAACUUCCUAUGGGAUUGGCUGAGGCCUCUGUGGUGACUGCAUUGCAGUUCAGCUUCUCCCUCUGGCCAAAGUGCUUCCUUCACUCCUCACAGGUUGAGGGCUAUGGUUGCACUGGAGAAAGACAGCAAAAGGCCAAGGGCAGUUACUCUUUGCGAGGACAAAGUGUUGAAGUCCAACAGGCCUCCUUGGUAGCAUAUAAAGAGAUCCUGAUCUUCUUCAACCAGAGGGCAGAAGCAGCUGAGGCUCAGAAGUGAAUGGAGCUCCAGAGAAGACUGGACUCUCCAUUUAGAUGAGUCCACUAUGCCAAGGCCCCAGCUGGGAGGGAGACUUGAGAUGGGAAUCAUGGCAGCUCUAGAGCUAUCUGUGAGAUUGGCUGAAGCCUCUGUCAUAACUGCAUCACAGUUCAACUUGAGGUUCUUGAAACCCCAGGUCCUCCAAACACUGGCCUGCAGAUGUGACCCAUACCCCUCUGCUUGAAGACAACUCAAAGACUCCUCAUGCCUUUCAUAACUUAUCCCCACCUCCCUGCGUGGCUAAAAGCUACAGUCAAGCCACAACACAACCAGGCCAGGAAUGUACUGGGUCCCUUGAGGGAGAAGGAGACUAUACAUCAAAGACGCUAUAGGGCCUAGCCAGCAUGUACUGGCAGAAGCAGAGAGGAUAUUUAUGGGGUGGGAUCUGGAGGGCACUGAAUCUAGAGAAAUAGAAUAUAAAGUUGGAUAAUAGAGAGUUUAUUAAUAUGAGGACAUUCUUCUAUGAUACAAGAUGAAUAUCCUGCUGAUAUGGACAGGAGACAGGGAAAUACUGGGUAGAAGAGGGCAGUUCCCUGGCAAAGGUCCCACCUUCAAGCCUGGAUACCCAUGGCCCUAAAUGGGAACAGGCAUUCCUGUUUUCAUGUUCAAAAGUUGCCUUUUAGCCUGCCACACCCGUUUAUCCUGUACCCAUAUAAACCCCAAACCCCCAGCUCCAGGAGUAGAUGAGCAGAUGAACAGAAGAGCAGCAGAGAAGGAGAGAAGAGAAGGAACAUUGGGAGGAGUUCAGCUGGGGACCGCUGGAGAGGAAAUCAGCCUCAGGACAGCCAAACUCCAGGAGAAGAUCACCUUCCUACUUCAUCCCCUUUCCAGCUCCCCAUCCAUCCCACUGACAGCCACCUCCACCACCCAAUAAAACCCCCACAUUCACCAUCCUCCAAGUCUGUGUGUCACCUGAUUCAGGACACUGGACAAGAGCUCAAGAUACAGAAAGCUGUCACACUGGCCCUCUGCCCUUGUGAAAAGGCAGAGAGUCUACUAAGCUGUUUAACACUUAAGCCAUUGGUGGAUGGCAAAGCUAAAAGAGCGCACUGUAACACAUGCCCACUUGGGCUUCAGGGGUCACAGGCGCCCACCCCUAGAUGCUGCUGUGGGGCCACAGCCCAGAAACACUCGCCCCAGCUCCUGCACCUGCCUGUCUGUGUGCUCCCCCUCCCAUAAGGGGUUUGAGCAGCGGCUGUGGCCAAACAGACAAGCCACACCCCUGUUGCACGUCCUGCGAGGGGGGGUCAGAGAACUCUCCCGUGUCACUGUCAAAGCUCCUAUAUGCAAAUAUGCUGCUAGGUUGAUUCCUAGAAGCUGGGAAAAAGCACUAGCCCAUACUAAGUGAAGUAGCACUGUCAGAAUUGCCAUGGCAAGUGAUAGAGAAAGGGACCGAAGGCCCAGAGAAGUGGGCUUGAUAAAACAGGCAUUUUAUAUAAGGUGAGAAAACCCACCAGCCAAUUACCUUCCAUGGGAUGGAGGCCUAGAAAGAAUACUUUGACUAGUAAAGUGAUCAAAAAUGUGUUGAUGAGAGGGGCACCAGCAUUAUUGAAGAAGCUCAGUGGUGGCUGUCCUUUGUAGACCAGGGCUGAGAAUAGCAGAUGCUCUUAUAGAACUCGCUUUCCCUAUAGCCACGGGAUGAUGGGGUUUCAAAUUAACAGAGGCCAGGAAGCGCGUGGCAUCAGAAACCAGGUGUAUGUAAUUACUGUAAUAAGGAACAAGGGGUGGCAGUCACAGCAGCCUGGCCCAGACAGAAUAUGACAAUUGUUAAUAGAACAUGGCACUCUGAAGGUCAAGAUAGAUAUGUGGGCAGCCACCAAGGGUCUCACUCAAUCUGCACAAUCAAGGAGGCUGAGGGAGGCACUCUCAUAAAAAGUCACAAUCUGUUGUCUAGUUUCUGGACCUGGGCCAGUUUUCAGACCUAGAACUUGGUAGCUGAAAGAAGAGCUGGGCCCUCAGCAGAAACUUGCAACGCCACAGCAAUGUAUAUGGUAUGAUUACCUUUAUUUAGCCUUCCCCACAGGACCUGUGGGCCAAGGGCAAUACCCAGAAACUUUGAGGACUGGUUGGACACAGACACAAGGCCUGAGCUAAUUGAUAUUGGACACCCAAGCCACCACCAGGGAGAAUGGAGGGUGAGGAGGCCCUAUGGGGAGCAGCUAAGAAGGUCCUGGUGCAGGUCUCGCAGUGGGCUCACUGGGUCAUAGAACUGUCCCAUGGUUAUUUCCCAUUAAGCAUAUAAGCAGAAUGGACAUAUUUGGCAGUUAGGUGAACCAACUAGUUAGUCAACCACAUUGAGGAAGGCCAAGUGGAAAUCUAUGAAAUUUCUCCCCACUUCCAGUCAAGAUGGUAAAUCACCAACAAUACUAUUAAUAUAUCCUGUGGGGACUAGAAGAGACUUAAAGGAGAGGGUUGGUGGCCUCCAUAUUCCAACUGAAUCACUAGUCAUCCAACUGCCCAACAGGUGCACAUUGCCCGCUGCCUAGACAGAGCCAAUUUAUCAAGACGGCAAUUGCAACGGAGAAAGAGUAAUUCACACAGAGCUGUGUGGGAGACUGGAGUUUUAUUAUUACUCAAAUCAGUCUCUCCGAGCAUUUGGGGAUCAGAGUUUUUUAAGAUGAUUUGGCAGGUAGGGUCUCAGGAAGUGGGGAGUGCUGAUUGGUCAGGUUGGAGAUGGAAUCAUAGGGGGUGGAAGUAAGUUUUUCCUGCUGUCUUCUGUUUCUGGGUGGGAUGGCAGAAAUGGCUGAGCCAGAUUACUGGUCUGGGUGAUGUCAGCUGAUCCAGGGAGCACAGGGUCUGCCAAAUACCUCAAGCACUGAUCUUAGGCUAGUAUCAAUUUUGUUUCAGAGUCAAAUCAUAAACUAAAUUCCUUCCCAGGAUUAGCUUAGUCUAUGCCCAGGAAUGAACAAGGACAGCUUAAAGGUUAGAAGCAAGAUGGAAUCAGUUGGGUCUGAUCUCUUUCACUGUCAUAAUUUCCUCAGUUAUAAUUUUUGCAAAGGUGGGUUUCAGUCAGGCCCUGCAAAAAGCAUACAAAUGUGGUAUAUUUCCUAGAGCAAAUUAACAGUGUAUCAGGUACCUGGCAUACAGCCAAUCUGGCAAGUGUAUUCUUAUCCACCCCUGUAGAAAAUGAGGACCAGAAGUAGUUUGCAUUCGUGAGGUGAAUAACCCUAUGCAUUAACAUGACCUUGCCCCAAGGUUAUGUUAAUUCUCUGCCCUCUGUCAAAAGAUAGUCUGAAGAAAGCUGAACCUUCUGGACAUGCUGCAGAACAUUACAUUCAUCCAUGACAUUGAUGACAUUAUGUCGAUCAGACUGGAUGAGCAAGAAUUGGGAAGUCUGGUGGAGAUAAACGCUAUCAAGACUCAGGAGCCUGCUGGGACAUUGUCUUCAAAAUAAAGGACUCAAAAGGAAUCACAUGUCCUAUACAAUCAACCUGGGUUCUGAGGUCAGCAUAGUCCAUUCAUGGGAACAUUAUUCUGGCCCAUUUGCCAAGACACAUGGAAAGCUACCAGCAUUGAGUGGGACCCAGGGGAGAAAAUAGCUCCACAGCCAGUCCAGGGUGUGAUAUAAGCAGUCUUGUCACUUGGUCCAUACAAUCUGGUAUUCAAAUUAUCUGUGAUUGAGAAAAAAUGCUAUAUAGAGUUUAUGGUAAACCUAACUGGAGAAUCACAAUGUAGACCCAUAGGGUUCUGAAGUAAGGCAACAGAGAACUAUAUGCUACGGUUUAUAUAUUUGCAACAGAGAACUACAUACUAUUUGGAAACAGCUCCUGGUUUGCCCCUGGGGUUUGGUAAAGAGUAUUUGAUCACACAACUUGUCAGACACUCAGCCACAUGUCUGAGGGGGCCUAGUAGGAAUCCAUCCUGAGAUUGAAGUGGUACAGAGGGCCUACGCAGACUGUAUGAGCAGGUGGUGCAGACCCUCCCGUGUCAUUCACUACUGUCACAGAAGAACUUUUCCUCAGCUCACGCAGAUGGCCGAUGGGGUGAGGGGUGAAUCCCUUACAACCAACUGAUGGAGGAGGAAAAAAGCCAAGUUUGGCUCAAGAUGGGUUGGUUCAAUACGUAUCUGCAAACCAUUAACGGACUACUGCAGCCAUACAGCCCCGUGCUGGUGGUCCUUUAAGACAGUAAUGAGGGAAAUCAUUGCAAGGCAAACAUCAGGCUAUGAGGUCAUCCACGUUAUGUGGAAAGAGAGCAGAGGCCAGAAAAAAACAUGGAGUCACGGGAAUAGCAAAUGGCUUGGCUAGUUGGUCAGGGGCCUAGGAGAAAGAAAAGACUGGGGACAGGGGUAGAGGCACAUGGACGGAUCUCUAGGAGUGGGCAUGGAAUGUAAAGAUUUUUGAGUGCAAGUUAACGCUCACCAGAGAGCAUCUGCUGUGGAGGAGGCACUCAAAAACCAAGUAGUCCAAAUCAUUGGUAGUAGUCCAACCAAGUAGUAGUCUAGUUGACAUCAGCCAUCUUCUUCAAUGGCCACUCCUGUGCUGGCAAAAUUGGGUGCAUGAGAGGAAUAGCUAUGGUGGCAGCAUGGAAAACGUGUAAAAAGAUUCCAUUCACCAAGAGUGAUCUAGCUACUUACUGAUGCUGCCAAAUAUUUAACUUGAGUGCAACAGAAAGCAAUGCUGAGCCCCAAUACAAUACCCAUCCUUUAAGGAGGGCAGCCAUCCCUCUGAUGGCUGGUUGUUCAUGCUGAGCCCCUUCCACUCUAGAUGGGAGCAGUUGUUUAUCUUGACUAGAAUUGACACAUGUUCUAGGUAUGGGUUUUGCCUUUUCUGCUUGCAUAGCUUCAGCCAACAGUAUCAUCAAGGAUUUAUAAUGUGUCUGAUUCACCAAAUACAUGACCAUGGGACCCACUGAUCCUAUCACAUACUGUAGAAGCUGGUGACUUGAUAGUACAAUUGGAUGGUCCUUUAAAAGUACAGCUGAGAUGCCAGUUUGUAAAUAAUAUUCUUUGAGGAUGGGGUAGCAUCCCUUAGGAUGUGGGGUACACCCUAAAUCAAUGACUGUUAUUUUGGUUAUGUGGCCCCAAUGGGUGGAAUUCAUGAAACUGAGAACCAAUAAGUAGAAGCAGAAGUGGCCCCACUUACCAUCUUUACCCGUGACUCACUUGGAGAAUUUGCUCUUCUUACUCUUGCAACUUUAGACUCUGUGGGUCUAAAGAUCCUGGUUUCCACAAGGGAAAAACUUCCAUCAGGAGAGACAGCAAGAGUCCCAUUCAACUUUAAGCUAUUGCUGUUGUAACCGGACCCCGGUUCAGCGGCUCACUGCUAGAAAGCCAGACAUGAGAGGUGAGAGUUGGUGGAAGGAAAAGUUGGCUUUAAUCAAGUGCUAGCAGGCUUGUGGAGCUGGUUUUUACAACUGGGUUAUUUUCCCUUCCACCACCCUCACUUCUCAUGUUUGGCUUUCAAGUGGUGAGCAGCCAUACCUGGGUCUGGUUACAAACAUGGCACCCCAUUAGAUGCGAACUGACCCCCAGCCCCUGCUCUGCUAGCCAUAACUACAGCUUUAAUUAGACAAGAGACUGAUUUUAGUAACUUUCUCCUGAUAAGAGAUCAUGACUAUGCACUAGUUCUGGCCUGUUUAGAGAAAUUGUGCACUUGUAUGCCUUUGUGUCCUGAAAAUAAUUUUUUUUUUUUUGAGACGGAAUCUUGCUCUGUCACCCAGGCUGGAGUGCAGUGCACAAUCUCGGCUCACUGCAACCUCCGCCUCCUGGGUUCACGCCAUUCUCCUGCCUCAGCCUCCCAAGUAGCUGGGACUACAGGCACCCGCCACCAGGCCCAGCUAAUUUUUUUGUAUUUUUUAGUAGAGACGGGGUUUCACCGUGUUAGCCAGGAUGGUCUCGAUCUCCUGACCUCGUGAUCCGCCCGCCUCAGCCUCCCAAAGUGCUGGGAUUACAGGCGUGAGCCACUGCACCCAGCUGAAAAGAACUUUUGACGUAUAGGGCCUAAUUGUAAUAGAUUUAAAUGUUAAGUCUCCACCCCAAAUGGAACAUGGGUCAUGUUCAUGUUACAUGCAUAUUUGUUUGAUACACGUCAUGAAUUCGCCUUGAUUUAUAUUAGUAGCUCCUCCUAUAACCUGUCACAUAUAUAUGUUUAGCUAACCUGUCAUCCCCACAGAAGCUCUGGGUACAAUUGACAGCGGGGAAUGUGCACUAUAAUUAAGACUGAAUGCUGUGUGUACAUUCCAGAUAACUCUGGAAAUACAUCCUCAACGCUGCAAGACAUGCACAAGCAAAUUAAUGCUACGUCUGAUCCCACAAUGUCCUUAAAUCAAUGGCCCUCUUCAUGAUCUAGAACAGGCCCCUCCUGGUGAAGAAGAAAAAAGGUUGCUCAUAAUUUUGUUACCGGAAAGGGGUCUUGAUCCAGACCCCAAGAGAGGGUUCUUGGACCUUGCACAAGAAAGAAUUCAGGGCGAGUCCAUAAAGUGAAAGCAAGUUUAUGAAGAAAGUAAAGGAAUAAAAGAAUGGCUACUUCAUAGGCAGAGCAGCAGCAUGGGCUGCUCAACUGAGUAUACUUACAGUUAUUUCUUGAUUAUAUGCUAAACAAAGGGUGGAUUAUUCAUAAGUUUUCCGGGAAAGGGGCGGAGACUUUCUGGAACUGAGGAUCCCUCCCCUUUUUACACUAUAUAGGGUAACUUCCAGACGUUGCCAUGGCAUUUGUAAACUGUCAUGGCUGGUGGGAGCGUCUUUUAGCAUGCUAAUGCAUUAUAAUUAACGUAUAAUGAGCAGCGAGGACUACUAGAGGUCACUUUCACUGCCGUCUUGGUGGGUGCCGUGGGUUUUAGCUGGCUUCUUUACCACAUCCUGUUUUAUCGGCAAGGUCUUUAUGACCUGUGUCUUGUGCUGACCUCCUAUCUCAUCCUGUGACUAAGAAUGCCUAACUUCCUGGGAAUGGAGCCCAGUAGGUCUCAGCCUUAUUUUACACAGCCCCUAUUCAAGAUCGAGUUGCUCUGGUUCAAAUACCUCUGACAACUUUAGCCGUGAUUAUAGAGAUAAGUUUAUUCUUCUGCUGUGGGCUGUAUUGCUGUUACACACCCACUAUGAUGCUCCAGCAGAUCUCUUCUGUAAGCCCAGGGACUCAUGAAUACUUUGAACUCCAGGAAGACAGGUUCCAUUCCAUGGCUCCCUAACUAUGCUGUUUUUCAGCAGGAACUAGCAAGAAUGAAUACACCAUCCCUAUUCCAUAGAGAUGGAAUACAAUUUGACAGUGGGGGAGUUUGUAACCAGGAACCUCAGCUUUAGAAAGUGCCCAUUUUCUUCUUCCUUCCCUCCCCUCUCACCUCUUCAUUCCUUCCCUCUGUAGGCACUCCCCUCUGACAAUGCAUGCUUAUCUAAUUAUGCUUUUGCUUAAGAAAUCCUGGAGGCUAAUCUUGAAACAAACCAGGCAUGGAGCUUCCAUUGUGGAAUUCUCCUGCUUAAGGGGAGUCACCAACAGGUGGAGGGCAGGUGGGUUACGACAAUGCCAACUAGAUAUUGAGAAAAGUGAUCUAAGAAGGCCCUUCGAACAAGACACACAGAUUCUACGCCCUGCGCUCCUCCUGCCUGUCUCCCAUACCAGGUUUCCCUUUCAAAGCCCUAUGGUAAAAUUUAAAAUUUAAGUUGGUACUUCAGAAAACUAGUUCAUCAUCUUCUUGGUUUCAUGCGCGUCCAUGUGAAGAGACCACUAAACAGGCUUUGUGUGAGCAAUAAAGCUUUUAAUCACCUGGGUGCAGGCAGGCUGAGUCCAAAAAGAGAGUCAGCGAAAGGAGAUAAGGGUGGGGCCGUUUUAUAGGAUUUGGGUAGAUAAAGGAAAAUUACAGUCAAAGGGGGUUGUCCUCUGGCGGGCAGAGUGGGGGUCACAAGGUGCUCAGUAGGGGAGCUUUUGGGCCAGGAUGAGCCAGGAGAAGGAAUUUCACAAGACAAUGUCAUCAGUUAAGGCAGGAACAGGCCAUUUUCACUUCUUUUGUGGUGGAAUGUCAUCAGUUAAGGCAGGAACUGGCCAUCUGGAUGUGUACAUGCAGGUCACAGGGGAUAUGAUGGCUUAGCUUGGGCUCAGAGGCCUGAGAUUCCUGUCUUCUCAUAUUAAUAAGAAAAAUAAAACAAAAUAGUGGUAAAGUGUUGGGACAGUGAACAUUUUGGGGGAUGGUAUGGAGAGAGAAUGGGCGAUGUUUCUCAGGGCUGCUUCGAGCGGGAUUAGGGGCGGCGUGGGAACUUAGAGUGGGAGAGAUUAAGCUGAAGGAAGAUUUUGUGGUAAGGGGUGAUAUUGUGGGACUGUUAGAAGAAACAUUUGUCAUUUAGAAUUAUUGGUGAUGGCCUGGAUACAGUUUUGUAUGAAUUGAAAAACUAAACGGAAUAAGAGAAGGAGAAAAACAGGUAUUAAAGGUCUAAGAAUUGGGAGGACCUAGGACAUCUGAUUAGAGAGCGCCUAAGGAGAUUCAGCAUAGUCGUGCCAGCAAAGAUUAUUUAUUUACUUCAAGACUUAAGAGUGGCAGUUUGGGGAUAGCACUAGGAGAUACCAGCUGUGAUGGCUUAGAGAAACCAUGUAAACCGGCAGUGUAAACAAGAGCAGGGCAUGUAUGAGUAGUUGAGAACGGUGAAUAGGAGUAUGACUAGAAAGAAGGUAGUAGGGAUGACAAGUUUCUUUGGGGCACAGUUUAAGUUGGUCUGGCGUCAAAUGAGUCUGGGGCCUAAUAAAAAGGAGCGUCUAUACAGAAGCUCAAAUGGGCUGUACUUUGUAGCAUUCUGAGGACAGGUCUGACUUUUGAGAAGGGAAAGUGGUAAAAGUAUUGUCCAGUCCUUUUUAAGUUGGUGGCUGAGCUUGGUGAGGUGUGUUUUUAAAAGACUUUUAGUCCGUUCUACUUUUCCUGAAGACAGAGGACUGUAAGGGAUAUAAAGGUUUCACUGAAUACUAAGAGCCUGAAAAGCUGCUUGGCUGAUUUGACUAGUAAAGGCUGGGCUGUUAUCAGACUGUAUAGAGGUGGGAAGGCUAAACUGAGGAAUUAUGUCUGACAGAAGGGAAGAAAUGACUGCGGUGGCCUUCUCAGACCUUGUAGGAAAGGCCUGUACCUAUCCAGUGAAAGUGCCUACCUAGACUAAGAGGUAUUUUAGUUAUCUGACUCAGGGCAUGUUGAGUAAAGCUAAUUUGCCAGUCCUGGGUGGGGGCAAAUCCUUGAGCUUGACGUGUAGGGAAGGGAGGGGGCCUGAAUAAUCCCUGAGGAGUAGUAGAAUAGCAGAUGGAACACUGAGAAGUUAUUUCCUUGAGGAUAGAUUUCCAUGAUGGAAAGAAAAUGAGAGGUUCUAAGAGGCGGGCUAGUGGCUUGUACUAUAGCAUAGCCUGCCUUUGCUGGUGUGUGGUGAUGAGGGCUGGUGGAACUGCCAUCAAUAAAUCAAGCAUGAUCAGAGUGAGGAACAGGAAAGAAGGAAAUAUGGGGAAAUGGGGUGAAUGUCAGGUGGAUCAGAGAGAUACAGUCAUGGUGUGGUAUCAGGAAUAAUGUGGGAGGCCGGAUUGAAGUCUGGGCCAGAAACAAUGGUAAUUGUGGGACUUAACAAAGAGUGAGUACAGCUGAAGGAGCCGGGGAGCAGAAAGUAUAUGCGUCAGGUAUGAGGAAGAAAAUAGAUUUUGGAAGUUAUGAGAAAUGUAGAGAGUGAGUUGAGCAUAGUUUGUGAUUUUUAGGGCCUCUAAAAGUAUUAAAGCAGCGGCAGCCGCUGCACGCAGACAUGAGGGCUAGGCUAAAACAGUAAGGUCAAGUUGUUUGGACAGAAAGGCUACAGGGUGUGGUCCUGGCUUUUGUGUAAGAAUUCUGACCGCACUAACCAUGCCUAGGAAGGAAAGGAGUUGUUAUUUUGUAAGGGAUUGAGGUUUGGGAGAUUAAUUGGACGCUAUCAGCAGGGAGAGCACGUGUGUUUUUAUGAGAAUUAUGCUGAGAUAGGUAACAGAUGAGGAUGAAAUUUGGGCUUGACUGAAGUAAUGGGGGCUGUCUGUGAAGCCUUGCGGCAGUACAGCCGAGGUAAUUUGCUGAGCCUAAUGGGUGUCAGGGUCAGUCUAAGUGAAAGCAAAGAGAGGCUGGGAUGAAGGGUGCAAAGGAAUAGUAAAGAAAGCAUGUUUGAGAUCUAGAACAGAAUAAUGGGUAGUAGAGGGAGGUAUUGAGUAUGGGUUUGGCACCACGGGUGGAUAGGCAGAACAAUUUGGUUGAUAAGGUGCAGAUUCUGAACUAACUUGUAAGGCUUGUCUGGUUUUAGGACAGGUAAAAUGGGGGAAUGGUAAGAAGAGUUCAUAGGCUUUAAAAGGCCAUGCUGUAGCAGGCGAGUGAUAACAGGCUUUAAUCCUUUCAAAGCGUGCUGUGGGAUGGGAUAUUGGCAUUGAGCGGGGUAAGGGUGAUUAGGUUUUAAUGAGAUGGUAAGGGAUGCAUGAUCGGUCACUAAGGAGGGAGUAGAGGUAUCUUAUACUUGUGGGUUAAGGUGGGGAGAUACAAGGGGAGGAUGUGAAGGAGGCUUUGAACUGGGGGAAAAGGUGGCAAUGAGGUGUGGCUGUAGCCCAGGAAUAGUCAGGGAAGCAGAUAAUUUAGUUAAAGUGUCUCGGCCUAGUAAGGGAACUGGGCAGGUGGGGAUAACUAAAAAGGAGUGCUUAAAGGAGUAUUGUCUAAGUUGGCGCCAGAGUUGGGGAGUUUUAAGAGGUUUAGAAGCCUGGCCGUCAAUAGCACAACAGUUAUGGAGGCAAGGGAAACAGGCCUUUGAAAAGAAGGUAAUGUGGAGUGGGUAGCCUCCGUAUUGAUUAAGAAGGGGACGGACUUACUUUCCACUGUGAGAGUUACCUAGAGCAUCUGUGAUAGUCUUGUAGGCUUCUGAGGUGAUCGGGCAGUGUCAGUCUUCAGCUGCUAAGCUGAGAAGAUCUGGGAAGGAGUCAGUCAGAGAGCCUUGGGCUAGAGUUCUAGGGGCUCUGGAAGUGGCUGCCAGGUGAGUUGAACAGUCCAGUUUUCAGUGGGAUCCUGCACAGAUGGGACAUGGCUUAGGAGGAAUCCUGGGCUGUGGGCAUUCUUUGGCCUAGUGGCCAGAUUUCUGGCACUUGUAGCAAGCUCCUGGGGAAGGAGGUUCUGGGGGAACCCCUGGCAGCUGUGGUUCAGGCGUUUGGAGUUCUUGUGUGCUGGAGAUGUGACGGGUUUGUCUCACAGUGGAGGCAAGGAAUUGCAACUCAGAAAUACAUUGCUACUUGGCUGCCUCUACUCCAUUAUUGUACACUUUGAAGGUGAGGUUAAUUAAGUCCUGUUGUGGGGUUUGAGGGCCGGAAUUUAAUUUUUGGAGUUUUAUUUAAUGCCGGGAGCAGAUUAGGUAAUAAAAUGUAUAUUGAGAAUAAGACGGCCUUUUGACCUUUUAGGGUCUAGGGCUGUAAAGCAUCUCAGGGUUGCUGCCGAACGAGCCAUAAACUGGGCUGGGUUUUUCAUAUUUGAUGAAAGAGCUUAAACACUCACUGAUUUGGGAGAGGUCUGAUAAAGAAAAAGGAGCAUUAACUUCCACUAUGCCUUUAGCUUCAGCCACCUUUUUAAGAGGAAAUUGCUGGGCAGGUAGGGGAGGGCUACUCACGGAAUGAAACUGUAAACGGGACCAGGUGUGAGGAGGGGAGGUGAUAAAAAGAUUAUAGGGUGGAGGAGUGGAGGCUGAGGAAGAAUUGGGACCUAGCUCGGCCUGGCGAGGAGCAGCCUGGGGAGGAGGGGAGAGGUCAGAUGGGUCUGUAGAAAAGGAAGAUUAGAAAGACUCAGCGAUGCUUGGGGUUGGGACUGAGGGGACAGGCGGGAGGGAAAGAAGGAAGAUUUGGGACGAGUUGCACUGGGCACAGAGGCUAGGGAGGGACUGAUGUGUAAAAGAAUGCCUGGACGUCAGGCACUUCAGACCAUUUGCCUAUUUUUCAACAAAAAUUAUUUAGGUCUUGUAGGAUGGAGAAAUCGAAAGUGCCGUUUUCUGGCCAUUUAGAACUACUGUCGAGUUUGUAUUGGGGUCAAGCAGCAUUGUAGAAGAAAAUAAGGCAUUUGGGUUUUAGGUCAGGCGAGAGUUGAAGAGGUUUUAUGUUCUUAAGAACACAGGCUAAGGGAGAAGGAGGAGGAAUGGAGGGUGGAAGGUUGCCUAUCGUGAAGGAGGCAAGUUUAAAGAAAAGGGAGAGUAGAGACAUGGAGGGAAGCAGUUCGGGGGUUCUUACCUUCCAGAAAAGCGGGAAAGGGGUCGGGGCGCAGAGAUACAAGGUCAGGACACGGAAAUAAGGGAUCAGGGCACAGAGAUAUUAGAGGUGGGGGUGCAGAAAUAAGGGAUCGGGGCGCACAGCUAUGAGGUUGGGGUACUUGCCCCUCCCCCAGAAAAGCGGGACUUGCUGCUAAGGGGGAAGGAGAAGGGGUUGUGGGGGUUUUUUCCUCCCAGAAAGGCGGAGAAGGGGUAGCGACACAGAAGGGGUUGGGGUACUUGCCCCUCCCCUAGAAAAGUGGGACUUGCCACUAAGAGUGAAGGAGAAGGGGUUGGGGGUUUCUUGCCCCCCAGAAAGGCGGAGAAGGGGUAGAGACACAGAGAGUAGGGGUUGGGGUACUUGCCCCUCCCCUAGAAAAGUGGGACUUGCUGCUAAGGGUGAAGGACCAAGGCAGGCAUCCUUGCAUGGUCUGACACCUUUGAAACCUGGGUGAAUAAUGAGAGAGGCAUCCCUGCAAUGAUUAAACACCAAGGGAAGGCUGCCUUCUCUAGUCCGUGACUGGCGCCAGAGUUUUGGGUCCAUGGAUAAAACGUGUCUCCUUUGUCUCUACCAGAAAAUGAAAGGAAUUGAAAUUAAGAGAAGGGAGAUAUUGAAGUGUGGUGCCAAGAUUGAAAGGAGAAAGAGGUUGAGGGAUAGUGAGGGAGGUUGGAGAAGAGAGUAAAAAGAGGCCGCUUACCGGAUUUGAAAUUGGUGAGAUGUUUCUUGGGCUGGUCGGUCUGAGGACUUGAGGUCAUAGGUGGACCUCUCUCACGGAGCAAAGAGCAGUAGGACAGGGGAUUGAUCUCCCAAGCGAGGUCCCCCGAUCUGAGUCACGGCACCAAAUUUCAUGCGUGUCCAUGUGAAGAGACCACCAAACAGGCUUUGUGUGAGCAAUAAAGCUUUUAAUCACCUGGGUGCAGGUGGGCUGAGUCCGAAAAGAGAGUCAGCAAAAGGAGAUAAGGGUGGGGCCGUUUUAUAGGAUUUGGGUAGAUAAAGGAAAAUUACAGUCAAAGGGGGUUGUUCUCUGGCGGGCAGAGUGGGGGUCACAAGGUGCUCAGUAGGGGAGCUUUUGAGCCAGGAUGAGCCAGGAGAAGGAAUUUCACAAGACAAUGUCAUCAGUUAAGGCAGGAACAGGCCAUUUUCACUUCUUUUGUGGUGGAAUGUCAUCAGUUAAGGCAGGAACCGGCCAUCUGGAUGUGUACGUGCGGGUCACAGGGGAUAUGAUGGCUUAGCUUAGGCUCAGAGGCCUGACACUUGGUUUGCUGGCUCUCCAUUUAAACCUGCUUUUCCUCCCACCAACCCUCUGUCUGGCUUUUGCAUGGUGAGCAGCUGAACCUGGGUCUGUUUACGCUGUCACCUAGUCACUUGUGCAGAGACAAGCAGGCAAGGAAAGAAGCUACCACCAUGGCAGGGGUAACCCACCAGGAUCACCAGGAGGAGGCGGGGCUGUCACACAGUGGGGGCAGGAGGGCACACAUCUGGCACCCAAGUGAUCCACUAGGGUGUCUCAUGGCAAUCCCCUGCCCAAUUUAAAUGGAAGACGGUCAGCCAUGUAGAGCAGACACUGCCUGAGAAUCAGGGCAUGGGGACUAGAGGUCCAGAACUCUCAAGGAUGAGGCAGCUUGGGUCACACCAGGAGGUAAGCCACCUUGACUAGCAGAGGUGAUGGCCAAGGGGAACUCUCAAAAGGGUAGUAGGGGAGGGAGAGAUGCAGAGAUGAGCAGUGCAAGAACUAAAGGGGAUGUUGUGGUGUUCUGCCCAGAUUCCACUUCAGGAGGGAGGUCAUCGUUCCCCUAGAUUCCAGAAGUUAUCCCUUCCCAGGGAUCACCCUCAGCUCUCUUUUUAAAAUCCAGGACAUCUUAGAAGGGCCAUCUAGCUCCAGGCCUCCCCAUGGAUUUUGACUAAAGCCUUUGUAGUAACUGCAUUGCAGUGCAAUUUCUUUCUGUGCCCUAUUUGCUUCUUUUACUCCUUCACACACAUUGUUCCUAAAAGCACUCUACCCCAAUAAACUUCCUCUGCAAAAAUGUCAGGCUCAGAGUUUGCUUCCACAGAACCUGACCUACUGCAGUCAACAUCUUAGUCCAGGCCAACAUUGCCUGGCAGCUGAAUUACUGUAAUAGCCUUCAAUGACUUCCUUAGGGACUCCCUUUCAAUGCAAAUGCCCUUUAGGUCUGCAGUCUGCUCCUAAAACUAAAAAGUCUGUUCAAUUUAGCACUGAUAAUGUCAAUUAUUAGCUUAUCUUCCAGGUGCAGAACAAAGACAGAUGAGAUCAAUGUUGCAUAAUCUAUUCUUUUUUUAACUCCCUUUUUCUUCUUCAAACACUUUUUUUUUUUUUAGACAGCGUCUUGCUCUGUCACCCAGGCUGGAGUGCAGUGGUACAAUCAUAGCUCACUGCAGCCUUGACCUUCCAGGCCCAAGCGAUCCUCCCACCUCAGCUUCCUGAGAAGCUGGUACUACAGGCACAAGCUACCACAACUAAUUUAAAACAAUUUUUUUUCUUUUUCUUUUUUUUUUUUUUUUUAGAGACAGGGUCUUCCUAUCUUGCUCAAGCCUGGUCUUGAACUCCUGGGCUCCAGUGAUCCUCCUAACUCAGCCACCUGAGUAGCUGGGACUACAGGCAUAUGCCAGCAUGCUCACCUAAUUUUUAAAAUUUUUUGUAGAGAUGAGGUCUUGCAAUGUUUCCCAGGCUGGUGUCAAACUCCUAAGCCCAAGCAAUCUUCCCACCUUGGCCUCCCAAAGUACUGGGAUUACAUGUGUGAGCCACUGCAUCUGGCCUAAACUUUCUUUUAAAAAUUAGACUUUACUUUUAAUGUCUUUUAAGUAUUUGUUUGCUCCUAGUUUAAAAGUUAUAAGAAAAAAUUAUUUGAUGUAAUUCUCCUCCUGCCCCAAAUUGAUGGUGUAUUUGGGAAAAAUAAUUAAAUUAUUCUUAGUUAGAAAUGUAAUAAAGUAGGAGGUCUCGUAAAGUGGUAUCCUUUGAACUGUAAGAUGAAGGGAAUUUCCAAGGCUUAAAACUAGUAAAUUUGACAACUAAGGUUAAGAUCUAUUCUCUCCAGACAAAGCAGGAAGGACAAGGGCUGCAGUAACCUAAUUAAAGUGGCUAGACGGAGGUAGGAGUUGGAUGUGAAAGCUGGAACCUAACUCAGAUGUAUGAACAUAACAAAAGCAAGAAUUUGAUAAUGGAAGAAAUGGGGUUGUUCUGCUUGGAGUCUUGCAAAAGGAAGUCAGGCUGGGUGCAGCGGCUCAUGCCUGUAAUCCUGGCACUUUGAGAGGCCGACGCAGGUGGAAAAGGAAGUCAACCAAAAUUUUUGUGUUUGCUGGAGUAAGGAAAAAAAUGAAAAUUAUUCUAUUACUAGUGAUUCAGGAUUUUUCUCAGCCCCUUCAUCAGACUUGUAACAGGUGUUCCCUGUUUACUCAGCCUGCCGCACUCAACCCCUUGUGAGAGGGAGCAUGUGAGUGAGUGAGUGUGGCUCAUGGUUUCCAUGAGGCUUGCUGUGUGGCCAUGGGCAGGUGAGCCAGGAGAAAAGGUGAUAUGCCGACCACUCUGGGUGCCAGCAGGAGCAGGCUCUGUGUGGGGGUGCCUGUGACCCCAAAGCCUAGAAGGAAUGUGACCGUGCUCUCUUAGCUACACAGUCUGCAGAUGGCUGUGUGUUAACAGCUCAGUUGGUUCCCUGCCUUGUCUCGUGGGGCGGCUGCCCUCUGCCAGCAAGGGCAAAGGGCCAGUGUGACAGCCUUUUUGGGUGCUUGCACUUGGUGGCUCCCAAGCUCUUGUCCAAGAAGAAUGCAGUUGCACAGAUACUUGAAGGAUGGUGAAGGCAGAUAAUUUUAUUUAGUGAUGGAAAUGGUUCUCAGUCGAGAGGGGAGCUGGAGAGGGGACGGAAAGGGCAGUUAGUCUUUCCUGAAGUCCGGCCACCUCUUCCCUGAAGUCAAGCCAUCUCUCUUCUCCAAAGUCCAGCAUCUCUCCUCUCUACAAGUUGAGUCUGGGGUCUUUAUCGGCACAGGAUGGGGCUGGGGCAGGCCGUAGGUAGUUUUGGAAAAGGCAACAUUUGAUUGGUAAAAAGACAUUACUCAGAAAGAACCAAUCAGGAGAUGGUAGGCAAACAGGAAUAUUAGUUCUCACUUUGGGCUGUGAGUUUCAGGCUAAUUUGACUUGAAGGUGAGGUUUCCUCAGGACAUGCCCGUCUGCCUAGAAUUUCUCUGUCUCUCACCUCUAUCACUAGAACAGUAAAAUAAUAAUAAAGCAUGUGUUUCCCAACACAGGAAGAAAAAAUACACUUCCUUGUGCUCUGUGUUCAUUAACUUCUGAUGCCAAUGUGGCCUCUCAGUUAUCUUCUGACAGAAAGCUGGGAGUGCCCUAAAUCUCUAGAACUGUAAAUUAAUAAACUGGCAUUUUGAUCAACAUAUUGAUCUACUACUUUUAUUAUCAUUAGUUGGUUCUGAGGCUAAUUUGGGUUCUCAAAAAAAUUAUUAAGUUUAUAAAACCUUUAGGUUCUGAAAAAAUCAAGUUUAAGUACUAACUCCUAACAAACCCUAAAAACAACCAUAUUUGGAUAGUCAAUCUGUCCCUCUCUAUCCACAUUAAUUCCAGCUCUUAUGUCAGCUUUCUCCUUUAUCUAAAACACACCUUGUACUUUUGAGGAGUUAAUGUUAAUAAAAAUUUCCCUAUGAAAAAAUGCGUCCCAAAUUUGAUUUUAUUUUCCAUGUUAUCUAGAAGAGAAGAGACUGAGGAUCUUGGAUUUUUAAAGGCCUCAUGUCCAGUUUCCAUGAGGCUUGCUGUGUGGCCAAUGGCAGGUGAGCCAGGAGAAAAGGUGAGCCUUGGUGUUAUGCCAAGCCAUCUAAUUACUGGAGACGCCAAUGCUUCCCCUAUGUUUCACUAGCCAUCAUUUUUUUCUUUUUUCUUUUUUGAGAUGGAGUUUUGCUUUUGUCACCCAGGCUGGUGUGCAAUGGCACAAUCUCAGCUCACUGCAACCUCUGCCUCCCAGGUUCAAGUGAUUUUCCUGCCUCAGCCUUCGAAGUAGCUGGGAUUACAGGCCUGUGCCACCAUGCCUGGCUAAUUUUUGUAUUUUUAGUAGAGAUUGGGUUUCACCAUGUUGGUCAGGCUGGUGUCGAACUCCCGACAUCUAGUGAUCUGCCCGCCUUGGCCUCCCAAAGUGCUGGGAUUACAGACGUGAGCCACUGUGUCCGGCUGCCAUCAUUUUUUUCAUUGGCCCUCUCAUCCAUGACCCACAUUACCUGUAGGUUGCCUUUGUGACCCGAAUUUCAAGGGGGUGACUUAAUAUAGGUAGAGAAAUAGUGAUGUUAAUGAGGAACUUGUUGGAACUUACAGAACUGAAUAGUUUUCUGGUUUCCAGAAAGAAAAAUAUUUGAUCCCAAUGAAGCUAUUUUUGGCUUCCUAUUUUCUGGCCCCAAAUCUUCCAAGAAAAAGUCUAAGGUCACACAAAAUGAAUCAUAUGCCUGUGGCCUGGGUGGUUUUCAGUAGUUAAACCAUUUAACUUUUCCAAACACUCAUUCCACCAAGCUCAGGAAAAAUACAAAGUUCACUCACUUCUUACCUGAAGCCUAUUUCAGUCCUUGGGUUACCUGUGGAGAUUUUAUUUCAUUUAGAAUGAAUGGAAAGGUUAAGCUAGGGCUGGAAAAGCACCCUGCAUUGGCUAAAUCCUGUCUCUGCUAUUGUUGCAGCUAUAACUCCACAGGGGGUCAUGUCUGAAAUGGAGGAGAGUUAAUAAGACCUUAGGCCAGGCCGGGCACGGUGGCUCACGCCUGUAAUCCCAGCACUUUGGGAGGCCAAGGCAGGCAGAUCACAAGGUCAGGAGAUCGAGACCAUCCUGGCUAACAUGGUGAAACCCCUCUCUACUAAAAAUACAAAAAAAUUUGCCAAGCGUAGUGGCACAUGCCUGUAAUCCCAGCUACUCAGGAGGCUGAGGCAGGAGAAUUGCUUGAGCCUGGGGGGCAGAGGUUGCAGUGAGCCGAGAUUGUGCACUGCACUUCAGCCUGGGCAACAAAGCAAGACUCCAUCUCAAAAAAAAAAAAAAAAGACCUUAGGCCAGGAAAAUCACUGCCUAGAAAAGUGAACAGGAAAAAACUCACUGUGCUGUAACAAAAAACACUGAUCUUGAAAUCAUGAGUAAUGUGACUCUGUCAUCUAACCAGAGCCUGCAAGAGUACAAAAUGUUGGUCAGAUCCUGCGUAUGUGUCACUGGUCUAGACAUCUCUGCUUUACCUGAGGUGUCUGGCCUACCUCUAUGAUACAUUUUGGACUGGGUGGGACACAGAUUUCAGAUAGCUGCCAUGCCCACACCCACUUUGGAGGCCACUGAUCUUGUUUUCCCUCAGCUCCCAUUAUUCAAGUGGAUUGGUUUGUACCACAAAACCCUGUGCACUCCUCUCACUACUCUAACCCUCCAAUAGUGGCUGGGUACAAUCAGUAGGCUAGCUAGCAACUAAGGCAUGGCUGAAUCUGAAAUGAAAGAAUAUAGCCAGUAAAGUCAAGGCAAAGGCAAGUCAAAGUUUAAGUAAUUAGAUGUUGUAAUAGAUGGGUGAGGAUGCCAACUGACAUUAAGAAAAGACUUGACAAGAGGUUAGCUUGUUUCAGAUCAACCCUUCAAUCAAAAAUAAUGAGGAAAGCUGUACAAAGCAUAAAAAUAUACUUGAAGGUGUUGGAGUGCUACCGCAGUAACUACGACUUUAGGGGCCAAGACCCCAGAGAGAAGGAAGCCCAGAGAGGGAAGACUGGUAUUUGGUGUUGUAACAGGACUGCCAGGUUUGUAUGCCCGCUGGGCGACAACAGAUCAAUACUACACUGACAACGGGAACUGCAGCAACAUUGGAAUUUAAUAAUCCAAGGCUGCUGGAUGAGAAAAUGGAGGGGAAUUCUCAAGCCAUGAAUCUGUUCCCUCGAGGGGUUCUGGGCGUGUCUUUAAGGGGAUGGUGGAGGACAACAGGCUGGAAAAUUGGGGUUGUUGAUUGGUCCUGGUAAAGAGAUGAAAUCAUAGGAUAUGGAAACUAUUCUUCCAUGAGUCAGCUUCUUACGGGGCCCUUCAGCCAGCCGGUGUCAGUAGUUUCGUUGAUAUGCAAAACCUAAAGGAGAAACUCUUAGAUUUUAGCUAUAGAACAAAGUCUUGUGACAAGGCCUACAUUUUCCUGGGGUAGUAAGCAGCGGCCAGCUACAGGGAAGUAGGCCAAAGGGCAAGCUGGCUUAAUGAUUACUGCUCAUUGUACUGCAAACCUAGUUGAAUUUUAUUUUCUCCCUUAAUCAAUUUUAUAAAGUUUUCUUGGGGAUGGUUUCAGUGCCACAUCUGCCAAUUUGAAAGCAGUGGCUGAGAAACUGAGCAGUGAUUUUGGACUUUCACAAGGCUGGGGUGUUUGUAAUUACAAUUCAGGGCCCGCCAAAGAUGAAACCCAGUCUUUAAGUUUGUAUAUCUAAAGGGCUACACCCUAGUAGUAAAAGAGAAACAGAUCAGUUCUCAGAAGGCUGAAGAUCAUCUUCCAAACAGCUCAUUCCCUUAUUUCCUACCUUGUUUGCCAAAAGUAAAAGUAGAUCAUCUUGAGGAAGAUUAUAACAUCUACAGCCUCAAUUAUGUACAGAUUUUCAUAUACUGUGUCUGGCAUUCAAUCAGAAUGUAUUCUGAAUGAAUACCAGUGUCUGGUAUUCAAUCAGAAAUACACAGACAAAAGACAAAACAGAGAAACAAGAGGGGGAAAAAAAAAACAACAGAAACAGAAUCACAGGAGACCCAGAUGUUGGAAUUAUCAUAUAUGAGCUUUAACUGUAGUUAAUAUGUUUAAUAAAUUAAAUAGUGAGCAAGAACAUCAGCAGGUAACUGGAAAUAUAUUAGAGGAUCAAAUGCAAAUUCUGGAACUGAAAAAUAUACAAAUUAAAAUUAAUAACUCAAUAGAUCAGUUUAGCAGAAUAUUAGAUACAGAUGAUGAAAGAAAAAUAACAACUGGAAGAUAUGUAGAAUAAAAUAUUUAAACUAAAUAUGGAGAGACCAAAGAUAGGAAAUUCAGAAAAGAACAUGAGAUAAAGGACAUGGUAAAAUAUGUGUAUAAUUGUGGUGUGAGAGGAGGAGAGAAAAAUAAUAUGGCAGAAGGAAUAUUUGAAGAGAUAAUGGCCAAGAUUCAGUGAUAAUAAAAAACACUUUGGCAAGAUAAAUACAAAGAAAACUACACACAGGCACUAUAUGGAAAGCUUUAAAAAUCAAAGACAAAAAUAAUUGGAGGAUUAAAAAUACAUUGCCCUUAAAAGAGCAACAAGACUAAAAAAAUCAUGAAAGGUAGAAGACAGUGGAAUGAUUCCUUUGAACUGCAGAAAGAAAAUAACUGCCAAGCCAAAUCUCUGUAUCUCACAAAAAUAAAGUCUCUGUAUUUAUUUCUGUAUCUCACUGAAAUAGUCUCUUUCCUCCAAAUUCAAGAUAGCCUUUGUUCACAGGAGUUGACUCGGGGUAAUCAAAAGUUAUAUGCAGAUUUUCAACUGUGCCGGGCGUUGGCACCCCUAAUCCCUGCGUCGUUCAAGGGUCAACUGUAUUACAAACACACAGAGGCACUACUGGGUAUCUGGUUAAGUUCAGUGCUAUCCUGGAAUGUUGACUUUAUAUGAUAAAGACAGGUCAAGAAUAUUUGCUUUAAGAUGAGGCCACAGAUGUGGAGUAUUUUUAUAUGGGCCGGUUGCUUCUGUAUCCGUAAAUAGUGCUCUCAUAAGAAAAAAGGAACCUCGGACUGAAAGAUGACUUUCCCCUUUUGGCAUGGUUCACUGGGCACUGAAACUGAAUGGCAUCUUUAAAAGUUUCACAGACAAGGUAGAUUCAUCUCCAGUUAUUUGCUGUUAAUGCUUGAGAAAUUGCAAAGCAACCUUGGGAUCCUCUUGCAUUAAAUUACAUUUUCCCAAGGAUGAAGCUUAAUUAUAUUUAGUUGCCUUGGAUAAGCACCUAUGGAGGAAAAAUUUUUUUUUUUUUUUUGGAGACAGCAUCUCACUUUGUCACCCAGGCUGGAGUGCAGUGGUGCAAUCUCAGCUCACCGCAACCUUCGCCUCCUGGCGGAGUAAUCUUCCCACCUCAGCCUCCCAAGUAGCUGGGACUACAGGCACACACCACUGUGCUCGACUAAUUUUCAAGUUUUUCUGUAGAAAAGGGGUCUCUAUUGCUCAGGCUAAGAAUAAAUAUUUUAUAUAAGUAAGUGCUUAUAUACCCAGGAAGCCACCAUUCUGUCAUGCCCUUACUUCACAAAGUGUUGCUUUCCACCCUUCCCCAGGGGAAAACACACCUAACAUGGCAAGAUUCAUUGGCUACAGUUCAGCGAAACAUUUUUGGAUCCUUUAGGAGGAAAAAUCUUACAUAAACUGCACUUUAAGAAUAAGGUUGUGCAGGAUCUGGAUUAAAAAAAAGAAUAAGGAAGAAGUUUUAUGGGACCUAAAUUUCACGUCAACAGCCCUUUGAAUCUCUGGCUCUACGAGGAAUGCAACUAAUCCAGGGAAUGCCUUUCUUUGAAGAUGUUUUAUGCCACUGUGACCCCAGAGGAAAGAUAGAUAGCAAAUUAUUUGGACUCUGAUGCAAAAGGCAUAUAAUCUGUAUCCUGCUGGUUCUGGUUCUUACUAAUAAAUAGUUAAAAUGAUGCAUUAAAGGAUUAUAAGUGAUUUAAUCAAGAAUAUGUCUAUUCUCAUUGUAAAUUAGCUUGCAUUUUCUGUAUUAUAUGUGAAAUCACUGAGUUAGUACACACUGCAAAUAUACCAAACAAGUUUGUACCUGCCUUUGAUGACCAUAAUCCAAAUGUUCUUUCCAUUUUCUGUAUUGUAGUUUAGUCUGUGAUUGAACAUUUUUAUCCUACAUGUUCUAUCUAAUAUUGUUAAUAUGUAACAUCGAGAUAAAUUCAGAAGACAAACUACAACCCUUGCACUAAGAAAAGUGUGAAACAGACCAUGUUUUAACAUGAAGUAUGAUGUACGCUUUUGAUCUAUUGCAAGUUGAAGCACAUGUUUACAGGCCAAAGCUUGUUUAAAAUGAUUUCAGAACCAAGUGUGAACAUGCCAUACAGAACUUAAUAUAGUGUACUCUAAUUUUUCUCAGUUUGACAAAAAAUGGACAGAAGGCAAAAUGAAAAAAAAUUUAUUUCCUCAGUGUUUUAUCCACUGUCAAUACUGUAUUUUUGAUGCAAUAUAUUUGCCAAAAGAACUCAGCUUUUAUUUUCCAUUUUAAACAACUACAAUAUUUACAAGCUGUUCAGAAUAACACUCAGACACACACACACUCACAGACACACGUAAGUACAUAUGUCCUUAUCUCUGGUUUAUACUGAAUGCUGGUAAAGGCCAUGAAUACUUUCCAGAGCCCAUGAUCAGAAAAGGAAAACCCAUUUUCCUUUCUUACGUUCACUUUCCUAGAAUCAUUUUCAAUAUUCCUCCUUCCAUUUCCUCAUGCAGAGCUCAUUGCCAGACUUGUAUAGGUUUAAUCAGUUUUUACAUUUUACUUUUACUUAAACUAUAAGCUUUUAAAAAGCAUAAGCAGACAUGAUUCCCCCCCCCCCCCCCAUUUCUAUUAUUUUGGUUGUAGAAUCAAGCUUCAUAGAUAAAAAAUCUUGUUCAAUCACAAGUACACUAAACCCAAGAGUCAUCUGGAGCAGCCAUCUUAUGCUCUAUCACUACUCUGUUGUGAAUUCCGGGGCACCACCUCAUUGUGCAGGUAAAACUCAGGAAUUCAUCCCCAUCACAGUGUUAGAUGACCUUUGUUCCUUCUAGCUUGGCUCCACUGAAUCAUAAAUUGUCAGGUACAGAGCUGAGGCAUAAGAAAAAAGGUAUAACCCUAUAUAAUAGGUAUAAGUCUUAGAACAGAGUUGUCAUAUAACCUUGUGGUGACAAUCAGCUCUAGUUCCACCAAAGAAUGUAAGGUUGAUUCCACAAAAUGGCAGAUAAUGAAGUUCAACUCACAAAUAGAAGUUAUCUUAAUUCAGAAAAAGUAUGUUGUAUGUAGGCAAUAAAGAUAAAUUGUUAUACAUAAUUCUUGACAGAUGACUCUGGUGAGGUGAUUCAAAGUAGAAAAUAUACUUCUGUUUCAAGCAAACUUACUCCACUCAUAUCCUACCAGAUUUAUUUGUAUAAUAAUUAAUUCCUUUCCAAUCACAGUUCUUCCUAGACAGACAUUUAACAAGUAAAAAUAAGACGGCCUGGGUGCAUAUCAAUCAACCAAAUUAAAAACAAACAAAAAAGAUAGAUAAAUGGAGAAAACGAUUGGCUUUUUAAUACUUAUUUUUAAAAAGCCAUAUUCAAUGUAAUAUUAGAAUUAUGCUGUCCCAAUGCAUGGUAGUAUCUAAUUUUUUUCUUCCUCAACACCAAUGAAACAAUAUCCAUGUAAGACUGAAACAGAAUGUCCAACCUCCAUUAGCAAGUUCCAUGUACCACAUUAGCCUUGACUGACGUUAUUAUCUCCACUAAUCUCUGAAUUAAAGGAAAAGCCUCUAGAAUAAAAAGGGACACUUUAUACCUUAUCUAAACCAUGUAUCCUAUCAAAAGAGAAAAUUAACUGGGUCUCUGUCCAAAGUAACUUUAUAUGAUUACAUUACACAGAAAAAGAAUACGAAUGAAUAAUGACGACUUAAAAAACAAACAUACACACACACACACACCCCAGAAAAGGCUUUGUCCAUAUUCAUGACAAAUUAAUUAAAAUAAAUAUAAAUGAAAUUAACAAUCUGGACAGCAGUUUAUGGUUAAGUAGCUAGUAAAUAUAAAUUCAAAGAAUUCUGACAAAAUCAUUAUUACCUUUUUCUCAAGUCACAUAUUUAUUUAGGAGGAAAGAUGCUUGAAAGCUAGCUAUAAGAAAAGGACAACUUUAGACACUGGGUGAAUCUUCAGCUUAAAAGGCCCAGUGCUGGAUGAAUGACUCACAACAGCAAUCCACCAAAUGCAGAGCUGCUAAGCAGAGGCAGAAGGAUGCUGCUCAGAAGCACAGAGGAAUUUAUCAAGGCUAUAAGCUAAACUUGCUGAAAAAUGUGAGGCUGAUUUUUAUAUUUUGGUAUGUGAUGGAAAAAUAAACUAAUUCAGAAAGAAAAACACAUCUUCUUAAUGGGUUUUCUACACAAAAACUUACAUUUUCAUUGCCUGACAUUUAGUAUACAGAGUAAUUUUCCAUAUCUCACUUAGGAUACAAAUAUUGUCUGACUACUUCUGUUUUAAGAAUUAUAAGUAGUUCAGAUAUACUUGAAAUAUUUUCCAAAAUACUUCGAAUCUAAUAGAAAUAGAUUAUCAUCCUCCAGUAACAAAGUCAAAGAAGGCAGAACACUGGUUAAGUUUGUUCACUAAUUUCCUAAAAGGUAAUCUCUUAAAAAAUAUACAUACAGCCUCACCACUUACUCUUCCAAGUUCCUUAAAUAUCAACAUCUUAUGUUAAUCUAGAUUCUUGGAAAAAUUAAAGUUCUUUAGCAAAAAGUCAACAUUAAAGUUUUAUCCAGUGUUGAAAAUGGUGUAAAAAGAGAGUUCACACCAAGGUAUAAGUUGGAAGAUUAACCAAAAACUUAGGAGUUAUAAAAUGUUUUUUGCCACUGAAUGAAAGAAAUAAAGGAAAAAAAGGCAAUAAUUUAUAACUCAUUCCACGAUUACCUUUCUCUCAAAAGAGGGGGUGGCGGAAGAAUUAAACAAGAAAAAGCAAAGUUUUCAAUCAUACAACUCCACCAAAAGGAAAUGAAUAAAAAAGCUAGUAUUUUAGUUACAUCUUUUAACUUUCAAAUUAUGGAAAUUAAAGCAUUGGCAAAUUUAUAAACUAAAGACAUUAAUGUAUGCUGAAGUCUUGUACAUAACUGAAAAAAAGCAGAGAAUCUAAACGAGUCACUCACUAUUCUCUGGGGGGUGAGGGGUGAGGCAGGAACAAGAAUUUAUGAUCAAUUUAGUUAACACAAGUAUGUUUAUUUCCAUAUAAUAAUUUAGAUCAAAUUAUUCUUAAGAAAUGGAUCUUUCUUCAAUUAUCACCAAUUCCCUGAUGCAAUUACUAGAAAAGUAUUAUGAUUUUUAAAAGAUUGUCAGUUUUAGACUCUUAAGAAAAACAACAGGGCUUCUUCUCAGGGUUCCUAAUUUAUAAAUUCACUAAAGAAUUAUAUAUGUUAACAAAAUUCAACUUGUUUUGAGAAAAAUAUAUGUCAAUUGCUACCCAAAAUCAAAACCCAACAUAUAUGUUCCAUAUAAAGUCUAGUCUUGCAUUUGAAAUCUGACUUUUCAGAGUAUGUGAUGUGUUUAAAAUUUUUUUGGAGGAGGGGCUAGAAAUUAAAAAAUUCUAGCCCUUCAGAUUAAAUCAUGUAAAGGUCAGAUUUUUUUUCUGUGUGGGAAAAUGAAUUAUCUUCCAUCUAAGAUUGAAAAGGCUCUACUUUUAUCUAGGCAAUGACCAUGAAAAGAUCAUAUUCACUUCAGAAAGGGAAGAAGCAGCAGGGAACAUAGUUCCUUUCAGAAGAUUUUAAAAAUAUACGUAUACAGAGAAAUAGAUUAUAAAUUCAGUUUCAGAAAAAAACCCUCCAAAACCAAAAACAACACUAAACUUUAAUGGCAUACUGUAGAUCUGCCAAAAUGAGGCAAAUGCAGAACAUAAUGACGGUAUCACAAAAAUACAUUUUUAAAUGGUCAAUUUAGAAAGGGUACUUUUGUAUAAAGGUUCAGUAAAUCAUUUGACAAGUAUUUUUAAACAGUAAAUUUUGUAAAGUGUGAAGUCUAUGGAAAUGUCAACACAAGGCACAUUAGGUUCUGAAUGACCACAAAAGUUUAAAAUUAGAAAAAGGGAAAAUAAAUAGGUUUUAAAGUGGAAAUGCAGUAAGUUCUGUAUGUUCACUAUUUACUUUCUUAGUUUUCAUUCCUUCUACUGUAAUGUUAUGCUAUAAUGUGAGAUCUACAUCAGAAUUGGUAGGAAAAACAGCUUCUCUCUUCUGUCACCUCAACAAAAGAUACUUUAAAUCUGUACUGUCUAAUACAGUAGCCACUAGGUACAUGUAGCUAUUGAGUACUUGAAAUAUGGCUAGUGACAUAUGAUGAAAUAGUAAUACUUUGACUAUACUGGGUGAAACAAAAUGUAUCAUUAAAAUUAAUUUUACCUGUUUCUUUCAAUGAUUUAUUCACAAGGGGUAGAAAGAUGGCUGCUCCUAAAUGCUCAGAGGAGAUGUACAAUUUUCUUUGGAGUUUCACACCAAAAGGGAAAAUUUUAUCAAGGAUUUAAAAAAUGCUAAGAGUUGCAAAUUAAAUCUAAAUUGAAGUUCCUAUAUCGCCCAAUUGUAAAUAUGAGUAAUAUAUUUCCCUGAAUAUGCAUUUAAAAAAAAUAAAGUUAUGAGACAACAUAUGAAUUAAGUCAAUUUCACAGUUAUAAAUAUUUCAAUUUACAGCUACACACUAUAAAUUACAGGAAAUAAAAUUCAAGUAACAGAAAAAGAAGAGGGGAAAAAUAAAAAGCAAAAUUAUUAAAGAGGGAUAUAAUAAUAACUGCACCACUUGGAUACUUUUAUUUGAAAAAAAAUUUUACUUGACUAACUGAACUGCAUGUGAAUAACUUCAAGAGCUAGAAACUCAUAAAUAAAAGGCAAUCGAUCCUUUCUUUAAAUUCCUGGACAUUCAUCUUCUUCUUAAAGAAAAUUGUUUUCUUCCCAGAAGCACGCCCAGCAGAGCUUGCUCUGGUGGAGAGAAGCAGAGCACAUGGGCUCCUCUGAGAUGUAGACACAGGAGCUGGCAGUGGUGUUCACAAGACCGAUCCGCUGACUAUUGGCUCUGGGAAAUGUCAAUGAUGAAGCUACGUAUAUCUUGAGAUUCUAUAUUCACUUUAAAGAAAAUACCCAAUGUCCUGGCAUGAAGUACACACUACUAACAGAAAAAUGAGCAGCACAGUUCCUGCUACCUGUGUUUAUAAGGAAAGGGAAGGGGCUAAUCCCAAAGGCAAUUUAAAUAAUGGUAUUUUAUUUUUAUAUAUAAAUAAAUGUUCUGAGAAAUCUCAGACUUUAGUGCAUUGCUGUAAAAAAUUAGUGCAGUUUUUUUUAUUAAAGUUUUUAGCGCUCAAGGAAUAAGAUAAAUCUAUGUCUGUUCAUAGUCUCUUUCACUGUACAUUAAACUUUUAUACUGCUAUAAGUCAAAAGGAACAUUUCUACACUGGUCUGUUCUUAAAAAUCAAGGUAAAUGAAUUUCAUGUUCUAUGACAAAACAUGGCAAUUAUUUUUGGCAAAGAAAUUAGAAAAAUAUGAGAUCAUAGUUUAGAAAUGAAGAGUUUGUUGAUUUAAAGCAUAGGCAAUGCAUAGGAAAAACUUUUUUUAAGGAUGUAUUUUAACAGAACUUUAUCCUUCAUGCAAAAUGUUUUCUCGGCAGCUAACUUAAAAAAAUAUUUCAGCUUUAUUUGGGGAUGGAGACAGUGACAGGAGUCAGGGUGAAGGGCAAAGGAGAGGUGCUUAACCAAGCUCAUUCUAUUUUCAGUCGCUCCCACAUAGGAUCAAAGUGAUACCUGCAGGCAUCUUCUGCUUGUUCCUCUCUUUUUCCAAUGCCUUGGAAUUGAGAGGGAAAAAGAAAUGUCUUUAUAAUAAACACUGGCUCACACUUCAGCCCCAAGUUCUAGUACCCCAGUUUCAAUUACAGUCACAUAUUUAUCAUCAAUCUGGACCAGAAGCACUGCCUUGUCGAUGUGGGAUCUGGUACCUGGAUCUCUGCUGCAAGGCACCCAUCGGUGAAUCACCUAAUGAUUCAGAAUAAAACAAGAAGUUAGCACUGGAGACCUGGAAUAUACUCACAAACUCUUACCCCUACCUAGGAUUAGUAGUAGCAAUUUUGUCUGAAAAUUAUACGUUUAAGUAUAAAUCAGCUAAAACCAUGCAUCCAAGUGAGGCGGACUUCAAAAAAGGCAGAGCCCCAGACCGCCAGCUUGUAAAAGAACUUACAUGGCCUUCCAUGCCCUCCUGCGGACUCCAGUCUUUCCAGCUAUUUCUCCCAGCUUUUAACCGGAUUCCUUCAUCAGGCCACUGUAGCUCUUUCCUUUUAGACAGGUUGAUCCCUUCCAGAAUUUGACUGGGAUCCACAAUCUACAUGGUAAAUAAAAACAUUUCCAAUUCAUUUUUUUCUUGAUGAUGAAAAAUUAUGUAAUCUCAAACAAAAUGCUUUUCACAGAGAGGAAUUACUUUUUAAAUUCCUAUAAUGGAAUAAAAAAAAAAUCUUAAGAGCUACAUCUUGAAUUCUUUUCAGCCCUCUGGUAGACCUCACUGCAAUGUCCAUGAGACAGUGGCUGAACAAGGAACAUAUAUCACCAUCACAAAAACUGUUUGCUUUCAGUUUUUAAGUUUGAAGAAAUUUUUCCCCAACAUUCAAAAAUAUUCUAGUCCUGAGACUAAGAUAAGGUGUGUAUUCACAACAGUCCUUCAUUCAACAAAUAAGAAAUAAAAACAAAUAAGUAACAAAAACAGCACAAGACCACCUCUGGGCUUACUUACUUGGACUCUGUAAAUCACUUCUGCCUUUCUGGAGUGUGAAUUGUUGGCAGGACUUAAGGUGUUGCCUGGCUGUGCAUCAGUGGCACUGCUCUGACCUCCCUCUGUCGCAAGAAAGCCCACGAGAGUGUGAUGUUUGCAGGCUGGGAUGCUUUGGCUGGAGCUGCUGGAGGAAGGCAGGCCGUGCUGCACACAGGCCAGGCCGCUCUGACCUGAGGGUUCCAUUUGGUUCACCAUCGACAGUCGGGAUUGGAUGGAUGAUGGCAAGUUUCGAAGCGAUAUCUGACUAGUAGAAGAGCGCCGACAAGGCACAAACCCAGUGGUGGACAUCCGGAGGGAUGAAUGCCGGCUGCUAUAGCAGUAGGAAGACUGGCUGGCUACUGAGGCCCGGGCAGGAGACUGUCUGACCAGGCCCGACUGCACAGAGUGAGAGCUGUGGCUAGUGCCUAGGAGGAGAAACAGCAGCACUCACUCAAAGUAGAAUGACUCAGACACAAUACUUCUGUUUUGCAGUUUCUAAGACUUUUUCCCCUAAGCAAUUAAUUGGUGAACUGACAGAACUUAACGUUUAUGCCUAAAACUUUUAAAGUUAAGAAAAAGAAAUACGUAUCUGAGAUCUAUUUUCUUUUGUGGUUCUUGUAAUAUAUUUUUUAUUUGCUAAAGUUUUUUAAAGUUCAAAUUCUGUGGCAUAUGAAAGACAAUUAAUAAUUAAAUAUUUUACAGCAAAUAUCAGGACUUAAGGUUGGGAUAAAUCCUAAAAUAUGUUUCACAGAAGCAUUUUAAAAUAACAAGAAUACUUCCAUAAUAUAUCAGAAAUGAAAUAUCUCACGGAAAUGAGACAGUCAGAAGGAUUUACUAAGAAACACUGCAUGAUCUCACUUGUGGAAUCUGAAAACCCCGAACUCACAGAAGCAGAGAGUAGAAUGGUGGUUGCCAGGGGCUGGGGAAGAGGAGGUGUUGGUCAAAGGGUACAGAGUUCCACUGAGUCAAGAGGAACAAGCUCUGGAGGUCUACUGUACAGCCUGGGGACUAGAGUUAAUAAUAAUGUGUUGUAUGCUUAAAAAUUGUUGAGUAGCUCUAAAACAUUCUUAUCACAAAGAAGUAUAUGAGGUGAUGGAUAGGUUAACUAGCUUAAUUUAAUCAUUUCACAAUAUAUUCACAUAUCAAAACAUGAUGUUGUAUACCAUAAAUAUAUAUAAUUUUUGCCAGUUAAAAAGAAAUAUUUAUUAAGGCCCUACUAUGUGGCAAGCUCUAUAACUACUAUUUCUCAAAGUAUAGUAUUACUGCCCUUUCAACUUCUACCAAGGAAAAGCUACACUGUCUAUAGAGAGACAGUGAAUACCACGCUGUAAUUUUCAUAUACAUUUGGGGAUCACUACUAAAUCGGAAUGAUCAGUGGCACUGAAAAGCAGGUUCUUCUGCAUCCUUUUUCAAGUGGCUUGAUAUGAUUCUUCAGACUUGUCUUUUUCUUGACUCAUAAGAGUAAUGUAAAAUUAAUUACAUUGAAACAUAGCUACAUGUACUUUUUACCUAAAAAUAAAAAGAGCUAAUCAAGGUAAGAACAAAAAGUACAUUUAAAGAACACUGAAAGUUUUAGGUUUUCACCUAAAUAAAAAAUAUUUAAU